rnacentral:misc_RNA from 1 species
AAGUCGUAACAAGGUUUCCGUAGGUGAACCUGCGGAAGGAUCAUUAACACUUUUUAUUAUUUUGUUUUUUUUCUAAAACAAAAUUUAAAACCCCACAAUUUUGGAUGAAUUUAAUUAAUUUAUUUUUUAUUUUAUUUUUUUUUUAUUAUAACCCUAUUAUUUGACUAACAUUUUUAUUUAAUUUUUAAAAAAUUAAAAAAACAACUCUUAACAACGGAUAUCUUGGCUCUC